rnacentral:rRNA from 1 species
GGACUACCAGGGUAUCUAAUCCUGUUUGCUCCCCACGCUCUCGCGCCUCAGCGUCAGUUUCUGUCCAGGUAGCCGCCUUCGCCACUGGUGUUCCUUCCGAUCUCUACGCAUUUCACCGCUACACCGGAAAUUCCACUACCCUCUACAGUACUCCAGUAAACCAGUCUUAGAUGACCUCCCCAGGUUAAGCCCAGGUAUUUCACAUCUAGCUUUAUCUACCGCCUACGCGCCCUUUACGCCCAGUAACUCCGAUUAACGCUCGCACCCUCUGUAUUACCGCGGCUGCUGGCAC